AUGCCGCGUGGAGGUGGAAGGCCUACGGGUCGUCAACUUCUUUUCUCGGAGAAGAAACGAUGACGGUAUCUGAGGAAUAAGCAUCGGCUAACUCUGUGCCAGCAGCCGCGGUAAGACAGAGGAUGCAAGCGUUAUCCGGAAUGAUUGGGCGUAAAGCGUCUGUAGGUGGCUUUUCAAGUCCGCCGUCAAAUCCCAGGGCUCA
rnacentral:ncRNA from 1 species